rnacentral:rRNA from 3 species
UACAGAGGUCUCAAGCGUUGUUCGGAUUCAUUGGGCGUAAAGGGUGCGUAGGCGGCGAAGCAAGUCAGGUGUGAAAUCCCGGAGCUUAACUCCGGAACUGCACUUGAUACUGCUUUGCUUGAGGACUGGAGAGGAGAUCGGAAUUCACGGUGUAGCAGUGAAAUGCGUAGAUAUCGUGAGGAAGGCCAGUGGCGAAGGCGGAUCUCUGGACAGUUCCUGACGCUGAGGCACGAAGGCCAGGGGAGCAAACGGG